rnacentral:rRNA from 1 species
UUUAAUUGAAGAGUUUGAUCAUGGCUCAGAUUGAACGCUGGCGGCAGGCCUAACACAUGCAAGUCGAACGGUAACAGGGAGCAGCUUGCUGCUCUGCU